GUGACUUAUCGGCUUCUAGGGUUUUUGACGGUCUAACCUGAGGUUUUACUGUAUUCCGGUGGCUCGAUUGUCACUUUGAGGACGCUUUGGGUGCAUUUCCGGCGUUGCUGACCAGAUUUCCGGUAAAAUUUGUUUUCAAAGUUACACCUAGGGUUUGAUACCUAGGGGUUCUCUACUGUUUGAAGGCUGAUCUUCUCCGGUCACGAAGAAGGAGGGUAACUAUGUCCUUAUCUUCGUUAUUAUAUGUGAUUAUUUGACUCUGUUAUUGUGAGCAUCUGGUGUUGUCUGUGAAUACUUGACUUGACUGUAGCCCGUUUGUUGGUUGCUGUGUUUGAAUACCUAUUUUGGUAGUAUUCUGUUUGUUGAAAAGUUAUUCAUUUAAGCCGGUUCAUUAUGGCUUCUAGCACAAACAAUGGUGCCUCUACUGCUGUAGAUUCUUCUAGUCCCCUUUUUGUGUACUCGUCUGAUGUCUCUGGGGUAUCACUUGUUCCCACUCCCUUCUCGGGUAGUGGUUAUGGGGGCUGGAGACGUUGGUGCCUCUCCUAGUGUAGAUUCUUCUAGUCCCCUUUUUGUGUACUCGUCUGAUGUCCCUGGGGUAUCACUUGUUCUCACUCCCUUCUCGGGUAGUUGUUAUGGGGGCUGGAGACGCAAAAUGAUUGUUGCCUUAACAGCCAAAAACAAAAUCAGUUUUGUUGAUGGCACAUACACCCGACCUGCCACCAAUGUGGCUCAACAAAGGUUGUGGGAUAGGUGCAACAGCAUGGUGAUCUCUUGGUUGAU
rnacentral:lncRNA from 1 species